rnacentral:other from 1 species
CGUAAAGCUUAUCGAAAAUAAACCUUACAAGCAAAGUAAUCGGGGGCUGUCCCUGACAAUGGUGUGCAAGCCCAGCUCGUACUGGGAAGCCUAAAGUUGUUACCAUGGCCACCCACUUAAAUAAUGAGGUUUAUUUCAAAGUUGUCUUCG